GCAAAACGGCGGUGCGCCGCUCUGCUCCAUCACGCUGGCAGGUCGAGCUCAGCGGCACGGCAAGAAAGGCUUGUCGCCCUUGCUUUAGAGUUUCUGGAUCGACGCCUGGAGUUAGGUUUUUGUUCCCUGUUCGAAUUUAUGUGCUUCUGAUUUUAAUCGAAUGCUUAUCAAUACAGUUUGGACAGGAAUCACGUGUGUUCGACGAAUUCAGCGGGUGUGGAUUCGCCGAGAAGAGGAGGUCUCAGCUGGCGAUCCACCGGUCAGAAAUCCUGCAGUGCGCGGGGACCCCAUGAAAAUCGACGGUCGACUACGAGGGACUUCGCUGUUCGGGCGAGCGGUGGCGUGUCGUCGAGCUUUGGAGGUGGUGAAGGGCCGUUCGGGAGUCUGAGACUCAAAAGGAUGACUAACGACGACAGCGGAGUCGCCGCCCACUCACGGAGCACAAUCUCGGUCGCCGCCAGCUCCGUCUCGAGCGGACUCGAUGGAGCUGUACAUGGUCGACCCCGGUCACCCGCUCUGUACUAUCCCGCACGGCCGGCGAACUUCACGGCGUGCCUCGGCUUCUGGGCGUCUUCUCCUUUAUCUGCGGGAGAUUCAUGCUGACGUCCGGUUCUUGGCACGCGAUCAGUGGGAGUGCCAUUUGUAUCACCUAUCGCUGUUUGUUUCAAGCGGUGUCGAGUCCGGUUGAGUGGUUCUUAAAGUGUGACUUGUGAUUGUGCUGUGUGACGUCUGGAAUUGGAGUUCGCUGUUACUUCAUUGUAAGUACGCCGCCAAGUUUCGCGCGAAGCGUGAUGAAAACUGAUGCGGUGUGUUGUUCUUGCUGUUUUUUGUCUUUGUUGCAACUGUUGUCACAAAUAAAGUUCUUUUUGCUGUUA